GAUGAAGAACUAGUGAAAUGCGAUAAGUAAUGUGAAUUGCAGAAUUCAGUGAAUCAUCGAAUCUUUGAACGCACAUUGCGCCCGCCAGUAUUCUGGCGGGCAUGCCUGUUCGAGCGUCAUUUCAACCAUCAAGCCCCCGGGCUUGUGUUGGGGACCUGCGGCUGCCGCAGGCCCUGAAAAGCAGUGGCGGGCUCGCUGUCACACCGAGCGUAGUAGAUUUUAUCUCGCUCUGGGCGUGCUGCGGGUUCCGGCCGUUAAACCACCCUUUUAACCCAAGGUUGACCUCGGAUCAGGUAGGAAGACCCGCUGAACUUAAGCAUAUCAAUAAGCGGAGGA
rnacentral:misc_RNA from 1 species